rnacentral:rRNA from 1 species
GGGGAACUGAAACAUCUAAGUACCCCGAGGAAAAGAAAUCAACCGAGAUUCCCCCAGUAGCGGCGAGCGAACGGGGAGGAGCCCAGAGCCUGAAUCAGCAUGUGUGUUAGUGGAAGCGUCUGGAAAGGCGCGCGAUACAGGGUGACAGCCCCGUACACAAAAGCGCAUGUGCUGUGAGCUCGAUGAGUAGGGCGGGACACGUGGUAUCCUGUCUGAAUAUGGGGGGACCAUCCUCCAAGGCUAAAUACUCCUGACUGACCGAUAGUGAACCAGUACCGUGAGGGAAAGGCGAAAAGAACCCCGGCGAGGGGAGUGAAAAAGAACCUGAAACCGUGUACGUACAAGCAGUGGGAGCACCCUUCGGGGUGUGACUGCGUACCUUUUGUAUAAUGGGUCAGCGACUUAUAUUCUGUAGCAAGGUUAACCGUAUAGGGGAGCCGGAGGGAAACCGAGUCUUAAUUGGGCGUUAAGUUGCAGGGUAUAGACCCGAAACCCGGUGAUCUAGCCAUGGGCAGGUUGAAGGUUGGGUAACACUAACUGGAGGACCGAACCGACUAAUGUUGAAAAAUUAGCGGAUGACCUGUGGCUGGGGGUGAAAGGCCAAUCAAACCGGGAGAUAGCUGGUUCUCCCCGAAAGCUAUUUAGGUAGCGCCUCGUGAAUUCAUCUCCGGGGGUAGAGCACUGUUUCGGCUAGGGGGCCAUCCCGGCUUACCAACCCGAUGCAAACUGCGAAUACCGGAGAAUGUUAUCACGGGAGACACACGGCGGGUGCUAACGUCCGUCGUGAAGAGGGAAACAACCCAGACCGCCAGCUAAGGUCCCAAAGUCAUGGUUAAGUGGGAAACGAUGUGGGAAGGCCCAGACAGCCAGGAUGUUGGCUUAGAAGCAGCCAUCAUUUAAAGAAAGCGUAAUAGCUCACUGGUCGAGUCGGCCUGCGCGGAAGAUGUAACGGGGCUAAACCAUGCACCGAAGCUGCGGCAGCGAACGUAUCACCCAAGACAACUUUACGGAGUUGACGAUUGACGGAGCGAAGCGACGUCAAAGCGUUCAUUAAAGUCGAGUUGGCUUAGGGAUACGUUCGUUGGGUAGGGGAGCGUUCUGUAAGCCUGUGAAGGUGUGUCGUGAGGCAUGCUGGAGGUAUCAGAAGUGCGAAUGCUGACAUAAGUAACGAUAAAGCGGGUGAAAAGCCCGCUCGCCGGAAGACCAAGGGUUCCUGUCCAACGUUAAUCGGGGCAGGGUGAGUCGACCCCUAAGGCGAGGCCGAAAGGCGUAGUCGAUGGGAAACGGGUUAAUAUUCCCGUACUUGGUGUUACUGCGAAGGGGGGACGGAGAAGGCUAUGUUGGCCGGGCGACGGUUGUCCCGGUUUAAGCGUGUAGGUGUGUGUUCCAGGUAAAUCCGGUU